AGCAGCCGCGGUAAUUCCAGCUCCAAUAGCGUAUAUUAAAGUUGUUGCAGUUAAAAAGCUCGUAGUUGAAUUUCGGGAUUCAUCCGUUGGUCGGGCUUCACGGUCCGCACUGGUGUGAUGGGUUCCUACCUUCUGAAUAACCGGCAUGCCAUUAAUUUGGUGCGCCGGGGAAGCAGAACUAUUACCUUGAAAAAAUUAGAGUGCUUAAAGCAGGCAAGUGCCUGAAUAGGUUAGCAUGGAAUAAUAAAAUAGGACGGCAUGGUUCUAUUUUGUUGGUUUCUAGGAUCACCGUAAUGAUUAAUAGGGAUAGUUGGGGGCAUUAGUAUUCAAUUGUCAGAGGUGAAAUUCUUGGAUUUAUUGAAGACUAACUUCUGCGAAAGCAUUUGCCAAGGAUGUUUUC
rnacentral:rRNA from 1 species